rnacentral:rRNA from 1 species
UACGUAGGUGGCAAGCGUUGUCCGGAUUUACUGGGCGUAAAGAGCGCGCAGGCGGUCGUCCAAGUCGCGUGUGAAAGCCCCCGGCUCAACUGGGGAGGGUCACGCGAUACUGUUCGACUCGAAGGCAGGAGAGGGUAGUGGAAUUCCCGGUGUAGUGGUGAAAUGCGUAGAUAUCGGGAGGAACACCAGUGGCGAAGGCGACUACCUGGCCUGUUCUUGACGCUGAGGCGCGAAAGCUAGGGGAGCAAACGGG